rnacentral:rRNA from 1 species
AAGCUCGUAGUUGAAUUUCGGGAUUAGUACGUCGGUCGUGCCUUAGGUACGUACUGGUGUUACUGGUUCCUACCUUCUGACGAACCAUCAUGUCAUUAAUUUGGUGUGGUGGGGAAUCAGGACAGUUACUUUGAAAAAACUUAGAGUGUUUAAAGCAGGCUCGCGCUUGAAUACAUUAGCAUGGAAUAAUGAAAUAGGACGUUGAUCCUAUUUUGUUGGUUUCUAGGAUUGACGUAAUGAUUAAUAGGGAUAGUUGGG